UUUCUCUGUAAACAAGGAUGCAUAUGAAAUUAGGUAUAGCAGAAAUACUGUACAGAAAUUGCACCAUUGUGACAGAUCUGGUAUUGGGGAACCUGCACCACCAAUUUCCAGAAAGGUGUGGAUAAGAGCUUGGAACUAAAGUGCAAGAUAGAGAUGGCGACAGUCCAUCAGAUCAAAAUGUAAAUAUGGACCAAGGGACUUUUAAUGAGGGACAUAGGGACAUAGAUAGAAUGACCAUAUUGGGUUUUUACAUGGUAUUUAUAUGCAAUAUUAGAAAACAUUUAGUUUUGUGUCCGAGUUCUGUUUUAAUGGUGAUUAACUCUUGUGCUUGAGGAUGCAACAGACAUUUAGCUUUAUACGAUAGUCUCUAGAAUUAAAGUAAUAUGUGGGCGUCUAUGACAAUAUUUUAGGUACAACAGUUAAAAAUCCAAUAGUAAUACAAAUGUCUACAUGGUAGAGUAUUUACUAUUUGUGGAAUAUCUGACUGUAUAUGUUAAUUAAUGGAUAUGAUUCGUCUGUCAUGCAAUUA